GAUGAACGCUAGCGACAGGCUUAACACAUGCAAGUCGAGGGGCAGCACAGGGAGCAAUUCCGGGUGGCGACCGGCGCACGGGUGAGUAACGCGUAUGCAACCUGCCCAUAACCGAGGGAUAGCACUUUGAAAGGAGUAUUAAUACCUCAUAACACAGGGAUACCGCAUGGUAAUAUUUGUUAAAGAUUUAUUGGUUAUGGAUGGGCAUGCGUUCCAUUAGGUAGUUGGUAAGGUAAUAGCUUACCAAGCCAUCGAUGGAUAGGGGUUCUGAGAGGAAGGUCCCCCACACUGGUACUGAGACACGGACCAGACUCCUACGGGAGGCAGCAGUGAGGAAUAUUGGUCAAUGGGCGAGAGCCUGAACCAGCCAAGUCGCGUGAAGGACGACGGUAUUAUGUAUUGUAAACUUCUUUUGUACAGGAAUAAAGUUAGGGACGUGUCCCUAUUUGUAUGUACUGUACGAAUAAGCAUCGGCUAACUCCGUGCCAGCAGCCGCGGUAACAC
rnacentral:rRNA from 1 species